CUCCUACGGGGGGCAGCAGUGGGGAAUAUUGCACAAUGGGGGAAACCCCGAUGCAGCAACGCCGCGUGAGUGAAGAAGUCAUUCGUGAUGUAAAGCUCUAUCAGCAGGGAAGAAAAUGACGGUACCUGAGUAAGAAGCCCCGGCUAACUACGUGCCAGCAGCCGCGGUAAUACGUAUGGUGCAAGAGUUAUCCGGAUUUACUGGGUGUAAAGGGAGCGCAGGCGGCGCGUU
rnacentral:rRNA from 1 species